rfam:Streptomyces sp. 769, complete genome.
CUUGACCGCGCCGAGCAGCAACGGCCGUUCGGCGGGCCGGUCCUGUCCGUACGUGGCCAGGAUCGCCUGCGCCUC